UACAGUGCAAGGGUUUAUCCAGUAAACUGUGAACGAUUGUGAUUUGAAAACCUGAUUUGCCAAAACAUACACUUGUAAAUAUCAAAUCUCCAACUUGGAUACUAUAGCCUUUUCAAUUCAGCUUUCAACUCAUCACCGUUCACUGCGUGUUCAAUUAACCCAUAUUUUCAUAUUAUAGUCAUUUACUUACUGUUAUCUAAUCAUGUGAUAGAUGGAUUCUUGCCUUCUGUUUGAAAACCAGUAUACAAAUCAGGCACUCAAAGGGUGUUUAAGGUACUUUUACUCUUGUCAUCCUUGCUCUCACAAGCAAGGCUCGAAAAAGGCUUGUGGGAGCCAAAACGUCACCCAGGUUGUAUAAAAUAUAAGGUACCUUAAGCACCCUCUGACUGCCUGGUCCAUCUCUAUAUCUGUGAUUUAGAAGAUGUAUUCUGGACUGUUUUGGCACCAGGUGAGUGCGAUUUGUGGCAAUCAUCCCUGUCUAUUCCGCUCAAUCUCAUUGUAUUGCUUUUCCUCUGAAGUCUGUGUGUGAAUGGUAAAUCAUGUUUACAAUGUUUUAAUUAUAGAUAUAAUACGUUUAGUAGGAGUUCAACA